GGCAGCUCUGCACCUCGUCUUGUUGUGGAGCGUCAGCGUCAAAUCUGCUCACAGACCUGCCUCUGUGACCGUCGCUGCCAAUCACUCUCAGUACUUUGAGUACGGCACCAUCAGUGUGAGCUGUGAGCAGUUCAGCCCUGGUGAA